UACGUAGGGGGCAAGCGUUGUCCGGAUUCAUUGAGCGUAAAGAGCGUGUAGGCGGCCAGGUAGGUCGGUUGUGAAAACUGGAGGCUCAACCUUCAGAGGUCGACCGAAACCAUCUGGCUAGAGUCCGGGAGAGGAGAGUGGAAUUCCUGGUGUAGCGGUGAAAUGCGCAGAUAUCAGGAAGAACACCCGUGGCGAAAGCGGCUCUCUGGAACGGUACUGACGCUGAGACGCGAAAGCGUGGGGAGCGAACAGG
rnacentral:rRNA from 1 species